GUGAUGGUCACUCAGGGGUCACUCAGGGGUCAGUGAUGGUCACUCAGGGGUCACUUGGGGGUCACUCUGGGGUCACUUGGGGGUCACUCGGGUCACUCAGAGGUCACUCAGGGGUCACUCAGGGGUCACUCACGCCCCUCUCUCCGGCCAGGAGUGGAAGCUGGACACGCUGUGUGACCUGUACGAGACGCUGACCAUCACGCAGGCGGUCAUCUUCAUCAACACCCGGCGCAAGGUGGACUGGCUGACCGAGAAAAUGCACGCCCGGGACUUCACCGUGUCCGCAAUGGUCAGUGAGGGUCACUCAGGGGUCAUUGGGGUCACCCUGGGGUCACCCUGGGGUCACUCAGGGGUCAUUGGGGUCACCCGGGGGUCACUCAGGGGUCAUCUGGGGGUCACCCGGGGGUCACACAGGGAUCAUCUGGGGUCACCCGGGGGUCAUUGGGGUCACCCAGGGAUCAUCUGGGAUCAUCUGGGGUCACCCAGGGGUCAUUGGGGUCACCCGGGGUUCACCCAGGGGUCAGCCACGGGUCACCGGGGGUCAUCUGGGAUCAUCUGGAGUCACUCGGGGGUCACUCGGGGUCACCCAGUGGUCAGCCAGGGGUCACCGGGGGUCAUCUGGGAUCAUCUGGAGUCACCCGGGGGUCAUUCGGGGGUCAUUGGGGUCACCCAGGGUCAUCUGGGGUCAUUGGGGUCACCCAGGGGUCACCCAGGGGUCAGCCAGGGGUCAGCCAGGGGUAACUUGGGGUCACUCAGGGGUCAUCUGGGGUCACCCAGGGGUCACUCGGGGGUCACACAGGGAUCAUCUGGGGUCACCUGGGGGUCAUUGGGGUCACCCGGGGUCACCUGGGGUCACCCGGGGGUCAUUGGGGUCACCCAGGGGUCACCCGGGUGUCACCCAGGGGUCACUCAGGGUCAUCUGGUCACUCAGGGGUCACCAAGGGGUCAUCCAAAGGUCACCCAGGGUCACCUGGGGUCACUCAGGGAUGAUCAAGGUUACCCGGGGUCACCCAGAGGUCAUCUGGGGGUCACUCAGGGUCAUCUGGGUAACUCAGGGGUCACCCAGGGGUCAUUGGGGUCACCCAGGGGUCAUCUGGGAUCACCCAGGGUCAUCUGGAGUCACCCAGUGUCACCCGGGGUCACCCAGGGUCAUCCAAGGUCAACUGGGGUCACCCAGGGGUCACCCAAGGUCAGGGACCGCCUGGGCUCAGGGGUCACCUGAGGUCACCUGGGGUCAUUCAGGGUCACUCAGGGGUCACCCAGGGUGACACAGAAUGACCAUGGGGUGACCCAGGGGUCACUCAGAGGUCACCGGGGGUCAGGGGUCACCCAGGGGUCAGCGGGCAUUGGAGUCUUUGGGGGUCUUUGGGGUCAAGGGGUCACCGAGGGGUGACAGGGGUCACCAGGAGGCCACA
rnacentral:lncRNA from 1 species